AGGGAUGUGGCACAGCUUUGUAGCGCAUUUGUUCUGGGUACAAAAUGUCACAGGUUCAAAUCCUGUCAUCCCUA
rnacentral:tRNA from 1 species